rnacentral:lncRNA from 1 species
UCUCUUCAGGAACUGCAUGACUUUAAAGUUGAUAAUUGCACUAGUUUUGAGAUAGCACAGCUUCAUUCCAUGAGUGAACUCGCUCAGCUUGGUGUUUCCCAACUUGAAAAGGUGGUAACUAGAGAGGAGGCAUAUGGAGCAAACCUGCGAGGAAAAAGUCACUUAGAAAAGUUGCACUUGUCAUGGGAGUAUACAUCACAGCAUGAAUAUGACAUUAACAUUAUCUCAGAGCCUUCUUAUGAGGUAGGAGAGAUAGGGACAAGCAAAGUGGUGCUUGAGGGCCUUGAACCACAUCACAGCCUAAAGCAUCUUCAAAUUUCUGGGUAUCGCAGCGGUACCUCCCCAAAUUGGCUUGUUAGCACUGUCUCGGUUACCUGUUUGCAGACACUUCAUCUAGAGGAUUGUAGGGAAUUGGAAGUGCUUCCCUCAGUAGAAAAGCUUCCACUCCUUACAAAGCUGAAGUUAAGGAAUAUGUGGAAAGUAAGACAGGUAACAGUUCCUUCGUUGGAGGAGCUGGUGCUGAUUAAUAUGCCAAAGUUGGAGUGUUGUUCCUGCAAUUCCGUGAUGGACUUGAACUCCAGUUUAAGGGUCCUCAAGUUUGAGCAAUGUCAUGUUCUGAAGGUCUUUCCCCUCUUUGAGAGCUGGAAGAAAUUAAAAAUUGAGCGCAAGUCAUGGUUGUCCUGUGUUAAGGAACUUACCAUCUGUGAAUGUCCCCAUUUAAUGGUACCGAAUCCUCUACCACCUUCUAGUAAUGUUUGUAAACUACACAUCGCAAGAGUUUCAACACUCCCAACGAUGGAGGGAUCAUCCAGCGAAGAACUGGUAAUCGGAGGACACAAUUUGAGAGAAAACAAUGGGCUGACGGAGCUGGAUGACAGAAUUUUGUCAUUCCAUAAUUUGAGGGCCCUUAGCCGAUUGCGUAUUGCAGGCUGCCAAAAACUAUCUUCUAUUUCACUCGAAGGUUUCAGGCAACUCAUUAGCUUAAAGACUAUGGACAUAAGCUACUGCUUUAACCUUUUCUCUUCAGAUGUCCCACCACCACCAGAGCAUACCCAUGAAGACAUGACCGACAUAAAUUUCAAUGCCCUCCCAUCUCUCAAGCAUCUCAGAAUUGAAUUUUGUGGAAUAACUGGGAUGUGGGUAUCUGUGAUGCUGCGCCAUGCACCAGCCCUAGAGGAAUUGCGCUUGGAUGAUUGCGACCAGAUAUCAGGACUGUUGAUCGAAGUGGGAGAUAGUAGUUCAUCAAAUCACACCUCGGCUCCACGGGCUCCAUCAGCAGGAAACCCAGAUGACGCAUUGACAAGCUCAACUCCAGAUGGACUCCUGCGCAUCCCAUCAAAUUCCGUCUCCUCUCUCAAGAAAAUGUCUAUUCUGUGGUGCGGUGAGCUAACAUUUCAGGGGAACAAGGAUGGCUUCUCUGUAUUCACCUCCCUUGAGGAGCUAACAAUUCGUGGAUGCCCCAAACUGAUCCCGUCUUUGGUGCAGACAUAUGAAAACAACGACCAGCGAAACGGAAGAUGGCUUCUCCCGUAUUCACUUGGCAAACUUGAGAUUGACGGUUCCCCUGAAACGCUGCAGCCCUGCUUCCUAGAAGAUCACAACUGCCUCGAAAAGUUAGAAAUAAAAGAAAGCCCAAGUUUAAAAUUGCUACAGUUGCAUUCCUGCACGGCACUGGAAGAGUUGGCGGUUCAUGAUUGUGAAUCGCUCCCCGCACUAGAGGGGAAUUUCACCUGCCUCAAGAGAUUAGAGCUGUCGUACAACUCAGGGUUGGAAUCGCUACAGCUGCGUUCCUGCACAACGCUGGAAGAGUUGACGGUUGAGUCUUGUGAAUCGCUCGCCACAUUAGAGGGGAAUUUCACCUGCCUCCAAAAAUUAGAUCUGUUUGACAACCCAAGGCUAAAAUCACUACAGCUGCGUUCCUGCACAGCGCUGGAAGAGUUGACGGUUCGGUCUUGUGAAUCGCUCGCUGCACUAGAGGACUUUUGGUCCCUCAGAUGUCUCAGGUAUUUGGUAAUAUCCAAAUGCCCUGGCUUACUUCCUUAUCUGGAACAUCUGUCAAGUGAGGGCUAUGAGCUGUGCGCUGGACUGGAAAGGCUCGACACUGAUUAUUACUCUUUCCUCACCACGUCAUUCUGCAAGUGCCUCACCUCCCUCCGACGCCUAGAGUUACACGAUCCUACGGGGGAAGUGACGGGACUAACGGAGGAGCAAGAGAGAGCGCUUCCGCACCUCACGUCCCUGCAGGAGCUACGAUUUGAGGAUUGCUCCAACCUCGCAGGUCUUCCUGUGGGUCUGCACAGCCUUUCCUCCCUCAAGAGGUUGGAGAUCAAUUAUUGCCCGUUUCUCUCAAGGCUGCCAGAAAAGGGGCUCCCAC